rfam:Felis catus isolate Cinnamon breed Abyssinian chromosome A3, whole genome shotgun sequence.
GCCUGGGUGGCUCAGUUGGUUAAGCGUCUGACUUCGCCUCAGGUCAUGAUCUCACCGCUUGUGAGUUCGAGCCCCACCUCGGGCU